rnacentral:rRNA from 1 species
AAGACAUUGUGUCUUCGAGUCGUUGAUUUCACACUGCCGAGAAAAGCCUCUAGAUAGAAAAUAGGUGCCCGUACCGCAAACCGACACAGGUAGUCAAGAUGAGAAUUCUAAGGUGAGCGAGCGAACUCUCGUUAAGGAACUCGGCAAAAUGACCCCGUAACUUCGGGAGAAGGGGUGCUCUUUAGGGUUAACGCCCAGAAGAGCCGCAGUGAAUAGGCCCAAGCGACUGUUUAUCAAAAACACAGGUCUCUGCUAAACCGUAAGGUGAUGUAUAGGGGCUGACGCCUGCCCGGUGCUGGAAGGUUAAGAGGAGUGGUUAGCUUCUGCGAAGCUACGAAUCGAAGCCCCAGUAAACGGCGGCCGUAACUAUAACGGUCCUAAGGUAGCGAAAUUCCUUGUCGGGUAAGUUCCGACCCGCACGAAAGGCGUAACGAUUUGGGCACUGUCUCAACGAGAGACUCGGUGAAAUCAUAGUACCUGUGAAGAUGCAGGUUACCCGCGACAGGACGGAAAGACCCCGUGGAGCUUUACUGUAGCCUGAUAUUGAAAUUCGGCACAGCUUGUACAGGAUAGGUAGGAGCCUUUGAAACGUGAGCGCUAGCUUACGUGGAGGCGCUGGUGGGAUACUACCCUAGCUGUGUUGGCUUUCUAACCCGCACCACUUAUCGUGGUGGGAGACAGUGUCAGGCGGGCAGUUUGACUGGGGCGGUCGCCUCCUAAAAGGUAACGGAGGCGCUCAAAGGUUCCCUCAGAAUGGUUGGAAAUCAUUCAUAGAGUGUAAAGGCAUAAGGGAGCUUGACUGCGAGACCUACAAGUCGAGCAGGGUCGAAAGACGGACUUAGUGAUCCGGUGGUUCCGCAUGGAAGGGCCAUCGCUCAACGGAUAAAAGCUACCCCGGGGAUAACAGGCUUAUCUCCCCCAAGAGUUCACAUCGACGGGGAGGUUUGGCACCUCGAUGUCGGCUCAUCGCAUCCUGGGGCUGUAGUCGGUCCCAAGGGUUGGGCUGUUCGCCCAUUAAAGCGGUACGCGAGCUGGGUUCAGAACGUCGUGAGACAGUUCGG